AWWUKGUUAGUGGGCAGACGGGUGAGUAAUGCGUAGGAAUCUACCUAGUAGUACGGAAUAGCCAUUAGAAAUGGUGGGUAAUACUGUAUAAUCCCCGAGGGGGAAAGAUUUAUCGCUAUUAGAUGAGCCUACGUUAGAUUAGCUAGUUGGUGAGGUAAUGGCUUACCAAGGCUAUGAUCUAUAGCUGGUCUGAGAGGACGAUCAGCCACACUGGAAMUGAGAUACGGUCCAGACUCCUACGGGAGGCAGCAGUGGGGAAUGRUUGGACAAUGGGCGAAAGCCUGAUCCAGCUAUGCCGCGUGAGUGAAGAAGGCCUUCGGGUUKWAAAAMUYYWUYMWU
rnacentral:rRNA from 1 species